rnacentral:rRNA from 1 species
UACGAAGGGUGCUAGCGUUACUCGGAUUGACUGGGCGUAAAGGGCGCGUAGGCGGCUUGUACAGUCAGACGUGAAAUUCCUGGGCUCAACCUGGGGGCUGCGUUUGAUACGUGCAGACUUGAGUUCGGAAGAGGGUCGUGGAAUUCCCAGUGUAGAGGUGAAAUUCGUAGAUAUUGGGAAGAACACCGGUGGCGAAGGCGGCGGCCUGGUACGAUACUGACGCUGAGGCGCGAAAGCGUGGGGAGCAAACAGG